CCUACGGGAGGCAGCAGUGAGGAAUAUUGGUCAAUGGACGAGAGUCUGAACCAGCCAAGUAGCGUGAAGGAUGACUGCCCUAUGGGUUGUAAACUUCUUUUAUAAAGGAAUAAAACGAGGCACGUGUGCCUUUUUGCAUGUACUUUAUGAAUAAGGAUCGGCCAACUCCGUGCCAGCAGCCGCGGUAAUACGGAGGAUCCGAGCGUUAUCCGGAUUUAUUGGGUUGAAAGGGAGCGUAGAUGGGUUGUUAAGUCAGUUGUGAAAGUUUGCGGCUCAACCGUAAAAUUGCAAUUGAUACUGGCAGUCUAGAGUACAGUUGAGGUAGGCGGAAUUCGUGGUGUAGCGGUGAAAUGCUUAGAUAGCACGAAGAACCCCGAUUGCGAAGGCAGCUUACUAAACUGUGACUGACAUUGAUGCUCGAAAGUGUGGGUAUCAAACAGGAUUAGAUACCCCUGUAGUC
rnacentral:rRNA from 1 species